AGUGAACGCUGGCGGCAGGCCUAACACAUUCAGGUCGAACGGCAGCACAGCAGUAGCAAUACUGUGGGUGGCGAGUGGCGGACGGGUGAGGCAUACACCGGAAUCUACCCUGUCGUAGGGGAUAACGUAGGGAACCUUACGCUAAUACCGCAUACGACCUACGGGUGAAAGCGGAGGACCGCCACGCAUCGCGCGAUAAGAUGCGCCGAUGUCGGGUUAGCUAGUUGGCGGGGUAAUGGCCAACCAAGGCGACGAUCCGUAGUUGGUCUGAGAGGAUGGUAAGCCACACUGGAACUGAGACACGGUCCAAACUCCUACGGGAGGCAGCAGUGGGGAAUAUUGGACAAUGGGCGCAAGCCUGAUCCAGCCAUGCCGCGUGGGUGAAGAAGGCCUUCGGGUUGUAAAGCCCUUUUGUCCGGAAAGAAAAGCACCGGGUUAAUACCCCGAUGUUCUGACGGUACCGGAAGAAUAAGCACCGGCUAACUUCGUGCCAGCAGCCGCGGUAACAC
rnacentral:rRNA from 1 species